UAACACCUGGCAACAUUUAGUGUCAGCCAUGUACGAUUUCGUGUCAAAAUAUUUUUGUUUGGUUUAUAGUAUUUCGCAUUAAAAUUAGCAUUAAAUGUUAUUCUCUUGGUAUAUUUUAUACGCUAUAGUAGUCUAAUUUAUGAGACAGCUGUAAAAUUCAAAGUUAGCGAGAAUGUUAUUGUGAUGUGAUCUUCGGUGGCACUCUGGUCUGUGGUGGCUGUAGUCAUGACUGAUUGCGCGCUGGUGACCAGUGUAAGCGAACACGAUGCCAGUAUGGACGUGGGGAGCGACAAGUCUCUCUUCGAGCCUACUGUUGAUAUGAUGGUGAAUGACUUCGACGACGAGCGCACGUUGGAGGAAGAGGAAGCGUUGGCGGCAGGGGAGCAACAGGAUCCUAAGGCGGAGUUGAACAGCCUGCAACGUGAAGGGGACAUGCCUUUGGAUGAGUUGCUAGCCUUGUACGGCUUAGACAAGAAUAUGGACAAGCCAGCACCCGAAACUAUACCUGACGAGCCCAUUCCCGAAGAAGUAGAGAAGCCUGAAUCUGAACUGCAGCAGUUGUACACAGAGACAACAAGCCCUGAGGCGACAAGAUGCCUUCGCUCCGGCUCCCGGCCCCCCUCAGAAGAAGAAGAAGACUAUGACUACAGCCCCGAUGAAGACGAUUGGAAGAAAACUAUAAUGGUUGGUAGUGAUUUCCAAGCAGGCAUUCCAGAGGGCUUGUGUAGCUAUGAUGAUGCACUGCCAUAUGAAAAUGAGGAUAAGUUGCUCUGGAACCCUACUGUCCUAGAGGAAAAUGUUAUUGAAGAUUACAUGAAGAAAAUUAAUGCAUUAAAUUGUGGCAAUGGAGUUGAAGCAGUGCCUAAAGGAAAGCAGCUGCGGGAUGACGAAGAGGCCCUGUUCCUGUUGCAGCAGUGCGGUCACAAUGUGGAGGAGGCUCUCCGGCGACGGCGCAUCUCUGCCCAAACCCCAGCACAUGCCAGCUUGUGGUCUGAAGAAGAAUGCCGCAAUUUCGAAAAUGGCCUUAAAGCUCACGGUAAAGAUUUUCACCUCAUAAGGCAAAACAAAGUAAGGACUCGGUCUGUUGGUGAACUGGUACAGUUCUAUUACAUAUGGAAGAAGACAGAACGACAUGAUAUAUUUGCUAACAAAGCUAGGUUAGAAAAGAAAAAGUAUACUCUUCAUCCAGGACAUACUGAUUAUAUGGACAGGUUCUUAGAGGAGCAAGAGGCUACAGGUGGAACAGGUACUGUGCGUCCAGCAUCCCCAUCCCCCAUGAUGGUUUAUGCUCCAUCUUCUGAUGCCCAGCCGGACCCGCUGGCUUUAGGAGAAAAAGAAGUGUUCUCUCAGUUAAACCACUCUGCUCCUCCGAGGACCAUGUCCACAGAAGAACAGGAACCAGACCAUGGCUCCUAAUAUUUGUAUGUAAAGGCAAGGCCACACUGUUUUUCUUUGCAUGUACAAAGCAUGCUGAAUGCUAGCUUGAUUUAUCCAGUCAAAUUAGCAUAGUAAGUUGCAAUUUUAGAGAAACUUAGUACUAAAUGUGACUUAUUGGGUUAGACAGUGGUUAGUUCCCAAGGCAUUGACUGAACUAACUUUACUCAAAACAUUAAAUGUAUAGUUUAUCUUUUUACAAGAAGUGAUUAUGUGGGUCUUAAAGGUGCAUUUUCAGUGUUUUCUAAAUGUUUUAUGUUUUGUCCAUCACUAUAACUUUGUGGACAAAAAAAUAUUUUCGCGGAGCAGGUUUCAGGCUCAAUGUGUUAAAGUAGUGUUAGGCCUAGCAACAAAUACUUUUGAAUAAUUUUAUUGUAAAUUUUCUUGUUUUAUCAAAAGAUUCAUUAUCUUUAAAGGAAAGUUCAGAUGUCAAAUUACAGACUUUUAUCUGAACUGAGAUAUCCAGUUAAAACCAGUAUUAAAAUCGGCCAAUACAAUACACAAAUUAUGUAGUUAAUUAUAAAAUAAAAUAUUGUGUGUAUAGGUAUCAUAUGAUCAACUUUUUUAAGAAUACUAAAAUUAAAAUGCAAGAAAUUUAAAAUUAGGGUUUUAAGCUACCAUAUAUGGAAAAAAUUUAGCUAUAAAUGUUUCUCCAAUUUUAUUCUAAAAUUUCUAAAUAUAGUGUUCAUCAUUUUACAAGUACCUAUGUGAAAAAAUAUCUGGCUUCCACUUAGUUGAACUGAAAUAGCUACCUGUUAUACAGUAUAGCGACUUAAGAGUUGUCUGCAGCAGGCUUUUGAACAUACAGAGAAGCACUAAAUCGAUCGAUUCUCCUGCGAAAUUAGUUGUUUUGUAUCUAUAGUAGUAUAUAUUUAGGAAAAAUUUAUUUGUUUCAAGUUAAAUUUAAAAGUAUUGAUUUCCCAUGCUUUCUAAAGUACGUCUACUUUGCCCUAUUCUUAAGUGGUCUUUAAAUGUGAGGUAUGCUUGGCAAGGCAAUUCACUCCUUAAAUGCCAGGGGGGACUUGUAUGGAGUACGUAGUUAGUAUAAGGCACUUUUGAGGUACCUGCUCGAUUUUUUUAUAGGUACUUAUAUCUUCGAUUAUUAUUUUAUGAAAUGAGUUAACUAAAAAUCUACUUCUAAAAAUUUGUUAAGGCCUAAUGAUUUAGUACCUUGUCGUUUUUCAAUAUUGUUCCUUCAAGAAGGCAUAACGGGUGUAUCGGGUUUCAAAAGCCUUCAUGUCUGUUUUACCCAAGCAAAUAGCAAGGUGAAUAUACAUCACUUUUGGUUCAUUUGUUAUAUGUAUUUAAGAGCGCUUUUGGCGGCAGUUAGGUACUCAUGUGAAAUGAAAUCCGUUUUCAAACCUUACAAACUUCCAAAUGGUACAAAAACUAAUCUGCAAGAACUUAUAUGGGGCAUUAUCUUUGAAAAAGAACCUUAUUGUCCAUGGCGCUUACGCCGCACAGCGUCGCGCGGUAUUGUAUUUAUAUCGGAGCAUCGUUAAUAAUGGCGUGAGCGCUAUCGACAAUAAGGUCCGUUUUCGUAGAUAACGUCACAUAUGUGAUAAUAGAGCUCCCUGUACAGUCAGCCAAGAAAGUGGUUUACGACUUUUCGACUAUCAAUCAGAUAAUAGAGUCGAAAAGUGGUAAACCACUUUCUUGGCUGACUGUACAUCAGUUCCGUGAAUUGUUGUUACAAUUUUCGAUAGACAUUCACUUGGAGGAUGCUUACUCAUAAUGUUUUUUCAUUACACCUGCGAGGAAAUAAAUACAAUCAAAUAAUCGCAUGAUGCACUGCCAGUCGUUUCAAUGUCGUUUAAUACACAACUGUGAAUACUCUUUUUCUCAGUGUAAAUGGGACUUUACCGAGGCCUAUCGUAUAUAGAUUGUAUAAAAUAAAUGGUGUAUGAAAUUCAGAAUCACAACCGCAACAGGGAAAGUAGGUAUCUAACUGUCAAUACGAUAAAAUUGCGAUUUAUGAUAUUUUCGAAUUCCCUUAUAAAAAAGUACCAUCGUUGAGAGCACCAUCUAUUGAGCAAUUAAGGUUUACCAUCCUUCCCGAUUGCUAGUUUUCCUUUCCUAGGAACAGUGUUAAGUUUAGUUAAGUAUUUAUUAAGUGUAGUUGCGUGUUCCGUUUGUUUGAGUAUUUAAGAGAAUAUACUUGUAUAUGAAUUUAUUUAAGCUUGAAGCAGAUCUAAAGCGUUAAAUGCAAAAAAGCAGGUUUAAGUUUAAAUAGUUAUUUACGAUACAAGUGCGGAAAAGAGGAUAUUCGAAACGAGUGGCGAUAAAUGAAAACACGACCGAAGGGAGUUUAUCGCCACUCGUUUCGAAUUUCCUCUUUUCCGCACUUGUAUCGUAAAUAACUAUUGAGGGAGAUUUAGCCCCCAUUCGCAUGAGAGCUUUUUCAACGCGCGUUAAAAGUGCGGUAGAAUCUGUCCGCACUCUAAAUUCGAUUUAUCGACCAAGGCUUAAAGUCGAAAAUCCAACAGCGCUUGAUAAAAAGCGCAAACGCUUUUUUAUUUUAACGCGCGUUGCAAAAGCGUUCGUAGGAUGGGGGCUUAUGAGUAUAGUAGGGACGUAGAUAUGUUAGCGCUCUCUGUCGUGCUCAUGCGUUUCAAUUUGUUAUUUUUCGCUGCAGGCUAUCUGCUUUGGGCUGCUGUGCGUUUUUAACGUAAUAGGGAGUAUUACCAGUGGGGAGACACUCCUGACUUCGGUCGAAAUCAGCUGCGUUCGGCUUAGCAUUGCUCCGAGCAAUUAUUAGGGUGGGCACCACUUGACUUCCUCUUGCGUGCACGACCACAGAUUUGAUAAUGGCAAUGGCACAGAAUAAUUAAUAGUUCUAUCGUACAGAAAGGAAACUUCCUACAAAAACGAAGUUUGACCGCGGUUCAGGGUUUCCCCAUUGCCAGGGGUGCGAAACUCCUGACUUCGGUCAAACUCGGCUCCGCUCGGCUCAGCAUUGCUCCGAGCAAUUAUUAGGGUUGGCACCACUUGACUUCCUUUUGCGUGCACGACCACAGAUAAGAUAAUCACUUGAUUUUUGACAACCCUAAAUAGCCGAAAGGGAUAGUGCUAUAUAUUUGAAAGGGAUAGCAUGAUUCGACCCUGAACCGUUGUCAAACUUCGGGUUUGUAGGAAGUGUCCUUUUUGUACGGUAGUACUAUUAUUUAUUCUGUGGUAUUACUGCAAUGUUCUGCCGAUGCCGCCAAAGUGCAAAGUGCAGCACUAGUGCACAAGCACAUACUAUUAUAACUAUGGUUUGGAGAAGCGGUCACUUAGCGUCGUUCACUUUUGUCUUAAGACGCGAUUUUCCCAGUGAUCAUUAGUAGGUUCAUAAUAAGUCAGCCAUCCAUAAUCGACAUUAAAAUUGUACCUCUUGUUUUUAUUUUGUCAUGGUUAGUGUCUCACAUCAUAUUUAUUUGAUUACUAAAUUUAUACUGUGUGUGUAUUGUGAAAUGUAUAAGGAUAUCAGAAAUUUGCUUGGUGUAAACUUAUAAUAGGCAGACCUGCCUAGUUAAAGUUACCUGUAACUUAUAUAUUGGAUGUACAAUCGUACCUAUGUGUGUGUGUGUUUAUCUAACUCUCAGAAAACUGGACAAAAUUAUGUUAGAGUAAUGCCGAGGAUAGGCAGACAGGCAUGACUAUAUAUAGAUGAAAAUACCUAUCUGCUGCGGUAUCAUGGACCAUGGUCGCAUUUUUAUCACUUGUAAUGCGUCACUUUCGCACUUACAUACUUGUUGGAACGUGACAGGCAUGAUGACAAAUGAUACAAAACCGACCAUCUAAACCAGCGGUCGGCAACCCGCGGCCCGCGGGCCGCAUGCGGCCCGGGAAACUCACAUGCGGCCCGCGAGCCUCCCUGGCUAUUUUGUAUGUAAUAAAGACAAAUGACAAUGUCUGAUAAAGUCGUAAAUAUCAACAAAGUGCGGCCCGCGUCCACUUCGUUAACUGCUAUGUGGCCCUUGGCUGCUAAAAGGUUGCCGACCGCUGAUCUAAACCCUACUGGUAUAUAUAUAUUAUAGGUAAGUCCGCGUAUUGUAACGAACAUUCAACAGCGGAACUCUACACACUUUUUAAUACAUAUUGUAUUGUACUAAGUUAGGCCUUUUGUGACUUUCGCCUACUUUACAAUUUUAAUAAGUUUAACAUGUGCCGUUUUAUAGCUGGUCAAGCAAAUCUUGUCAGUAAAAAAAGGCGCGUAAUCCAAAUUUUCUAUAGGACGAUAUCCCUUCGCGCCAAAAUUUUGAAAUUUACCGCUUUUUUCUACUGACAAGAUCUGUUUGACCAAGUAUAGAUUGGGCUUGAGAACACUCUGACUCUAAUUUUAAAACUGACAAAUAUUAUUGUUUGUAUGUGGAUGAUCGCAUUUUAUACCGAAUAUUUUUAUUAUUUUUGACGAGAACGAUUUUUAGGAAUAAUGAAUAACAGUAUAACAUAGAUUAUAAGAUAUCAGUACAAUGUAUAUAAAUAAAUUACAAUAAUUUUAAUGAUUUACUAUAGGUACGCAUCUAGCAUAAUUGAAUAAGGAACACCAUGUUGGUUUCUACAAAAAGACGUGUUGUCAUAAGAACAUGUACAUGUCGGAUGCCGGUGUUGCUCGAAGCAUGUACACAAUCAAUGGGUAGUGUAAAGGUUACUAAAAUAGAUAAACAUUAAACAGUGCAAGUUU